UUUAUUCGUUAGUUUGAUAUGAAGAAAACGAGAAGAAGAACAACAUAUUGUUUAUUUUCUCUCAAUUAGUUGAGCUGUAUUCACCGGUUUUUCAGAUCUGACGAGAUUGUGAAGAUGCAUUGAAGAACAACAAAUAGAGGUAGAAGAGAGGUUGGAAUAGAGGAAGCUCAAAUAUAGAUUUGGAAUUUUUUGAUACGAAGAAGAGGAAGAAGAAACCAGAUUAUUUCAGAAGAGCAAUAACAAAA